GUCCGCCUCACCGCGUGCACUGGUCCGACCGGGUCUUUCCUUCUGAGGAGCCGCAUGCCCUUCACUGGGUGUGUCGGGGAAUCAGGACUUUUACUUUGAAAAAAUUAGAGUGUUCAAAGCAGGCCUAUGCUCGAAUACAUUAGCAUGGAAUAAUAGAAUAGGACGUGUGGUUCUAUUUUGUUGGUUUCUAGGACCGCCGUAAUGAUUAAUAGGGAUAGUUGGGGGUAUCAGUAUUCAAUUGU
rnacentral:rRNA from 1 species